GUUACAGAUAAAAACGUAUCGAAAAUAACUGUCCUGGUUUUAUCUGUCCUGUUAUAAAGGAAACUGAUUGAACUUGCAGAAUACGCACACGAUCUCAAAUUGGAAGUUAUUGAAGAAGAUGACUAUAAAGAUCUGUGUAAAGAGCGGCGACGAAUUUCAACAAAAGAAGGACAGUCUCAUUAUGUAAUAGAUGUGACGGAGGUACAGGAUUGCACAGCCGAUCUCAGAGGAGUGCCUAGUGUUGAAACUGGAGAUAUAAUGAUAUAUUUGCUCAGUACUUGUCAGUGGUCAGACGAUAGACUGCGUGAUUAUAAACAAGACAAUGGUUAUAAGUUGUUUAUGUGCAAUCACAUUUCAGACGUCAAGAUGUACAAAACUGAUACUUUGGGCUACAUGUAUGUUCAUGCCAAUUGUGUUCCAGAAACCAGACAGAGUGCUGAUCCCUAUAAUACAUGGGUACUGAUGGAUUCCACAGGAUAUUUGAAGUCUGGAGGAUGUACUUGUGUGGCUUAAGUAGUACAAAUCAUUUAAUUCAUGUACAUUUACAACAUUUUAUCAUUGAUAACUCUCUAAAACUAAAAUGAAACACUAUCUGACCAAUUGUAUCAGCAUAAAUACAUAAUAUCAUACUUCCUUGAUCAUAAUAUCAACAUAAUGUCAUUCAUGUAGCCAUAUAUAUAUGCAUGUACAAUCAAGGAUUGUAUGCUAUUUAUAGAAAUCCUUGGUACAAUGGUCAUGUUUACUACAUGUAAAUGUAUGUAAAAAUAAGAUGUGGUACAUGUACAUGUAUGUUAGCUUAUGAGAUGACUCUGCACAAGACCAAAUAUUGGUGAUACAUGUAUAAACAGAUAUUAUACCUGUAAAUUGCCAUACAUCUUUCAUCAAGAAGAAAAAAAGCCAACAAAACAGUUUACUUAACAGUUUUGUUUCUAUUCAUGUACAAUGUAGUUCUGUAGGAUUUAAAAUUUAGGCUCUUACAUUUUGUGAUGAAAUGAUAAUGUGUAGAUCUAUAAAUAUAUAUAUAAUUGUGAUAUUGUUUUGGUCAAAAUUUUCCAACACAAGUCCAUGCCAUAUUUCAUGCAAUGUACUAUAUAUAAUACAUGUACAUGUAUGUCAUUCACAUUGUGCAUGUUGUAUGUACACUUAUAAUUUAGUUCUCAAUUAUUACAAUUAUCAACCUUUUUUUGUAUUUGAUUUAAGACAUGAAUAUUUUUAGUACUAAACAUGUUUAUAAUGUAGAUGUUUCUUAUUGCAGAGAUGAUGGUAGUUGUAAACACGUGGUAGCCUUAUUGUUUGCAUUAAGUUCCUUUGUUUCACGGCAUACUGAUCGCCAUACUUUGGUUGGCACUGAUACCAUUUGUGCAUGGGACAAGCCAAAACAGGAGACCAGACCAUCAAAAAUUGCUGAAUUGGAAUACUUUAGCAAGAAAUCAGACAUGUAGCAUACAUUUAAUCCUGUAAAACAGAGAGAGACACAUGCAUCCAAAAGAGACCUUCAACUCAAGGUUUAUGAUCUAUGCAAAGGCUCAUCUGCAGGUUUUUUGAAAUUAGUAGAUCCUCCAUCGGAUGAAAGUGAAAGUGACGAGGAGACCCCUUAAUAUUUUUCCGACAUGUUAAGAGGAUUAAGUGACAGUGAUGACAUUAUGGAAUAUUUACACAACAAACAUGACAACACAUAUAUUUAUAAUGUAGAGCAAGGGACAGAGAGAUAACCCUGAAUGGCAAAAACAUAGAAAGUGUAGAAUAACUGCAUCCGUAAUUUCUAAUAUUAUGAAAUGUAACUUCGAUCAACUAAGUUCAAAUCAUUACUUAGUAAAAAACUGUCUUGGAACAUAAAUAUCUUUCCGCUCAGAUGCAACAGAAUUUGGAAUUAAGAUGGAAAAGGUUGCAAAAACACAAUACUUUGACAUGUUUAAAACUCAACACAAGAAAUGCAGCUUUAAAGAAUGUGGUUUAUUUGUGUCAAAAGCAAGCCCAUUCUUAGGUGCUAGUCCUGAUGGUGUUGUUAAGUGUAAAUGCUGUGGUACACGUCUUGUAGAAAUUAAAUGUACAUUUAAAUAUGCUGACAAAACGCCAAUGGAAGUGGCUAAUUUACAAACUUAUCAUGUUCAAAACAUAAAUGGUGAAAUUAAACUUAAACCGUCUUCACCAUGGUACUACCAGAUUCAAACACAACUAGGAGACAUUUGUGAUUUUGUUUUGUUUUCUUCAAAAGCUAUUUCAGUUGAGACUGUUAAGUUUGAUCCUGAUUUUUACAAGCAGAUUGUGGACAGAUCUCAUGCAUUCUUUGACAUUGUAUUCCAUAAUUAUUUUAAUUGAAUAAUGAUCAUGCAUUAAACUCAAUAUGCUUCUUUA